rnacentral:rRNA from 1 species
AUUGCCUCAGUAACGGCGAGUGAAGCGGCAACAGCUCAAAUUUGAAAUCUGGCCCUUUCGGGGUCCGAGUUGUAAUUUGUAGAGAGUGUUUCGGGUGAGACCACGGUCUAAGUCCAUUGGAACACGGUGUCAUAGAGGGUGAGAAUCCCGUAUGUGACCGUGGAUCGAGCCCAUGUGAAGCCUCUUCGACGAGUCGAGUUGUUUGGGAAUGCAGCUCAAAAUUGGUGGUAAAUUUCAUCUAAAGCUAAAUACUGGCUGGAGACCGAUAGCGCACAAGUAGAGUGAUCGAAAGAUGAAAAGCACUUUGGAAAGAGAGUGAAACAGUACGUGAAAUUGUUGAAAGGGAAGCGCUUGCAACCAGACCUGCCCGUAGGCGAUCAGCCGCUGUUCUCAGUGGUGCACUCGCUCUGCGAUCAGGCCAGCAUCGGUUUCGGCGGUCGGAUAAAGGCCUUGGGAAUGUAGCUCCUUUUCGGGGGAGUCUUAUAGCCCUCGGUGCAAUGCGGCCAGCCGGGACCGAGGACCGCGCUUCGGCUAGGAUGCUGGCGUAAUGGUUGUAAGCGACCCGUCUUGAAACACGGACCAAGGAGUCUAACAUCUAUGCGAGUGUUUGGGUGUCAAACCCAUGCGCGGAAUGAAAGUGAACGGAGGUGAGAACCCUUAAGGGCGCAUCAUCGACCGAUCCAGAUGUCUUCGGAUGGAUUUGAGUAUGAGCAUAGCUGUUGGGACCCGAAAGAUGGUGAACUAUGCCUGAAUAGGGUGAAGCCAGAGGAAACUCUGGUGGAGGCUCGCAGCGGUUCUGACGUGCAAAUCGAUCGUCAAAUUUGGGUAUAGGGGCGAAAGACUAAUCGAACCAUCUAGUAGCUGGUUCCUGCCGAAGUC